AGAGCGCGGUGAGUAAUUUUAUUGUGUAUGUUUUAUUAUACAAUAUAUUUUAUUUUUAGGAGGAAAUUAUUUGUGGACUCCAGAUCAGAUGCAAAUUUCAGAAAUGCGGAUGAUACAUCACUAGAAAACGAAGAAUCAGAUGAACGAUCAGUAGAUGAAUCAAGCGGUGAUAUACAUUUACUCAUUAUUUAAUUCCUUAAAGAAAUGAAGAUUUAUUCGCUCUUGUAAAUGUGAAUUAGAAGAAGUAUAAACAAUAAAG